GAUACUUGGUGUGAAUUGCAGAAUUCAGUGAAUCAUCGAAUCUUUGAACGCACAUUGCGCCCGCCAGUAUUCUGGCGGGCAUGCCUGUUCGAGCGUCAUUUCAACCCUCAAGCUCAGCUUGGUGUUGGGACUCGCGGUAACCCGCGUUCCCCAAAUCGAUUGGCGGUCACGUCGAGCUUCCAUAGCGUAGUAAUCAUACACCUCGUUACUGGUAAUCGUCGCGGCCACGCCGUUAAACCCCAACUUCUGAAUGUUGACCUCGGAUCAGGUAGGAAUACCCGCUGAACUUAAGCAUAUCAAUAAGCGGAGGAA
rnacentral:rRNA from 1 species